rnacentral:pre_miRNA from 1 species
GGUGUUUGGAAUGAAGUUUGAUCCAAGAUAUCAUUCUAAACAAUGAUCUUAUUCUUUCUUGAUUUCUCCAAUUACUAAUUAGUUCUUAAUUAAUUAUUAUUGGAGGGAUUAAAUGAUCAUUGUUCGAUCGAUCUCGGACCAGGCUUCAUUCCUCACACC